rnacentral:rRNA from 1 species
AUUAGAUACCCGGGUAGUCCCAGCCGUAAACUAUGGCUCGCUAGGUGUCAGGCAUGGCGCGACCGUGUCUGGUGCCGCAGGGAAGCCGUGAAGCGAGCCACCUGGGAAGUACGGUCCGCAAGGCUGAAACUUAAAGGAAUUGGCGGGGGAGCACAACAACGGGUGGAGCCUGCGGUUUAAUUGGACUCAACGCCGGACAACUCACCGGGAAACGACAGCAAUAUGGUAGGCCAGGCUGAAGACCUUGCCUGAAUCGCUG